rnacentral:snRNA from 1 species
GUUGCUUCUGCAGCACAUCUCUAUAACGGCACUAUAAUAACAGAAGAUUAACAUGGUCCCUGUGCAAGGACAACACACAGACUCAGACAUUCAGUAGUUUUAU